UAGCAGCCCGGCGGUAAUUCCAGCUCCAAUAGCGUAUAUUAAAGUUGUUGCAGUUAAAAAGCUCGUAGUUGAACCUUGGGUCUGGCUGGCCGGUCCGCCUCACCGCGAGUACUGGUCCGGCUGGACCUUUCCUUCUGGGGAACCUCAUGGCCUUCACUGGCUGUGGGGGGAACCAGGACUUUUACUGUGAAAAAAUUAGAGUGUUCAAAGCAGGCCUUUGCUCGAAUACAUUAGCAUGGAAUAAUAGAAUAGGACGUGUGGUUCUAUUUUGUUGGUUUCUAGGACCGCCGUAAUGAUUAAUAGGGAUAGUCGGGGGCGUCAGUAUUCAGCUGUCAGAGGUGAAAUUCUUGGAUUUGCUGAAGACUAACUACUGCGAAAGCAUUCGCCAAGGAUGUUUUCAUUAAUCAGGGAACGAAAGUUAGGGGAUCGAAGACGAUCAGAUACCGUCGUAGUCUUAACCAUAAACUAUGCCGACUAGGGAUCGGACGGGCUUCUAUGAUGACCCGUUCGGCACCUUACGAGAAAUCAAAGUUUUUGGGUUCUGGGGGGAGUAUGGUCGCAAGGCUGAAACUUAAAGAAAUUGACGGAAGGGCACCACAAGGCGUGGAGCCUGCGGCUUAAUUUGACUCAAACACGGGA
rnacentral:rRNA from 1 species